UCCCCGAGGAGGACGGUGACGGCGGAAGGGGCCUCGACAAGGGCUUCGGCUUCAACAAGGGCUUCGCCGCCAAGUACGACCUCGGGGACGAGGUCGGGAGGGGCCACUUCGGCUACACCUGCGCCGCCAGGAUCAGGAAGGGGGCGCGCAAGGGGGACGCCGUCGCCGUCAAGCUCAUCCCCAAGGCCAAGGUUUGAAGGCGCCUGACAAGCCCAUCGUCGCGCCGCCGACCUGCUGAAAUUCGAGGUCGGCACCCAUGCGAACUCAGGUAACCUUGGUCGUGCUUGACAGUUAGCCUUUUAAAUAGCAAGUGGGGUAUGUGUGUGUUGCAUCUGAUGUGCGAGAGCUCAACCUGGUGAGCUCCUGGGAGAAGAAAAAAGGAGCCACAACAGCCCUGGCGAGCUCGAGAUGACGACGG